rnacentral:rRNA from 1 species
AACGAACGCUGGCGGCAGGCCUAACACAUGCAAGUCGAGCGCGCCCUUCGGGGUGAGCGGCGGACGGGUGAGUAACGCGUGGGAACGUGCCCUUUUCUACGGAAUAGCCUCGGGAAACUGAGAGUAAUACCGUAUACGCCCUUUGGGGGAAGGAUUUAUCGGACAAGGAUCGGCCCUCGUUGGAUUAGGUAGUUGGUGGGGUAAUGGCCUACCAAGCCGCCGAUGCAUAGCUGGUUUGAGAGGAUGAUCAGCCACACUGGGACUGGGACACGGCCCAGACUCCUACGGGAGGCAGCAGUGGGGAAUCGUAGACAACGGGGGCAACCCUGAUCGAGCCAGGACGCGUGAGUGAUGAAGGCCGUAGGGUUGUAAAGCUCUUUCAGCUGGGAAGAUAAUGACGGUACCAGAAGAAGAAGCCCCGGCUAACUCCGUG